CAGUCGCCACGGGAAUACGAAGGGUGCAAGCGUUACUCGGAAUUACUGGGCGUAAAGCGUGCGUAGGUGGUGGUUUAAGUCCGUUGUGAAAGCCCUGGGCUCAACCUGGGAAUUGCAGUGGAUACUGGGUCACUAGAGUGUGGUAGAGGAUAGUGGAAUUUCCGGUGUAGCAGUGAAAUGCGUAGAGAUCGGAAGGAACAUCUGUGGCGAAGGCGACUAUCUGGGCCAACACUGACACUGAGGCACGAAAGCGUGGGGAGCAAACAGGAUUAGAUACCCCGGUAGUCCCUGUCUCUUAUAA
rnacentral:rRNA from 1 species